GAUGAACGCUGGCGGCGUGCUUAACACAUGCAAGUCGAACGAUGAAGCCCAGCUUGCUGGGUGGAUUAGUGGCGAACGGGUGAGUAACACGUGAGUAACCUGCCCUUAACUCUGGGAUAAGCCUGGGAAACUGGGUCUAAUACCGGAUAGGAGCGUCCACCGCAUGGUGGGUGUUGGAAAGAUUUAUCGGUUUUGGAUGGACUCGCGGCCUAUCAGCUUGUUGGUGAGGUAAUGGCUCACCAAGGCGACGACGGGUAGCCGGCCUGAGAGGGUGACCGGCCACCCUGGGACUGAGACCCGGCCCGGCCCCCCCCGGGGGGCGCGGGGGGGGAUUAUGUCACAAGGGGCGCAAGCCUGAGGCAGCGGCCCCGGGGGGGGGAUGACGGCCUUCGGUUGGAAACCCCCUUUCAGGGGGGAAGAAGCGAAAGUGGCGGUCCCUGCAGAAGAAGCACCGGCUAACUGCGG
rnacentral:rRNA from 1 species